GACGGGGGAUGCAAGCGUUAUCCGGAAUCACUGGGCGUAAAGCGUCUGUAGGUGGUGAUGCAAGUCACUGGUGCAAAACUCUGGCUCAACCGGAGGAAAGCCAGUGAAACUGCAUGACUAGAGUGUGGGAGAGGUAGAAGGAAUUCCCUGAGUAGCGGUGAAAUGCGUAGAUACAGGGAAGAACACCGGAGGCGAAAGCGUUCUACUGGAACACAACUGACACUGAGAUGCGAAAGCUAGUGGAGCGAAGGGG
rnacentral:rRNA from 1 species